AACGAACGCUGGCGGCGCGUCUUAACCAUGCAAGUCGAGCGGCAGGCAGCAAUGCCGAGAGCGGCGGACUGGUGAGUAACACGUGGAUAACGUACCCCGAUGUCCGGGACAGCCUGUAGAAAUAGAGGGUAAUACCGGAUAGAUCACUGUUUACGGAAGGUAGACAGCGGGAAAGGAGCUUCGGCUCCGCGACGGGAUCGGUCUGCGGCCCAUCAGCUAGACGGCGGGGUAAAGGCCCGCCGUGGCGAGGACGGGUAUCCGGCCUGAGAGGGCGGACGGACACAUUGGGACUGAGAUACGGCCCAGACUCCUACGGGAGGCAGCAGGUAAGAAUAUUCCGCAAUGGGGGGAACCCUGACGGAGCGACGCCGCGUGAACGAAGAAGGCCGGA
rnacentral:rRNA from 1 species